GUGGCUUUGGGGGUCAGGACCUGCCAGACAUUCUUGGGAUGUGGCUGUGCCGGGAUUCUCCAAGGACACGGCUCCAAAAAAGAAGAUUUUGGAGAAAUUUGGUACCAUUUUCCUGCUGUUCAUAUGCAGAACUGAAGAAAUCUGGGGAAUAUUUGGGGGUUGUCAUUGUGUGCUUCAGGUUACCACCCAGACACUGGACUUCUCUUACCAUGUACUUUCUGUUGCAGGUUUGUUAAGGCUUGGUUUGGUUUUAGAGGGUUUGAAGAUUUCAAGCUUCCCGUGGGCCUAUGAAAAGGUGCAUUUUUACUCUUGUGAGUUAUUUCCUCUUUUCUGUGUCUGCUGCUGUGGAAGGUGGAACAAGAGGAAAAAGGGAAGAGCAUUAAAUCCUGUUCUGCAGCCUUGGAUGGGUUUUCAUCCAGUGGAGAGCUGCUCUUGGAGGGGUUAAAAUGACCUUGUUUGGGGUGUAAUCACUGCAAUUCGGAUGUCCUGGAGGACCAAGAGGAUUUCGUUCUCCGUGUACAGAUUUGUCUGGUUUAAAGCCAAUAAUUAAAAAGUUAAUUUAGCAGGGACUCGGCCUCCUGCUGUCCUUUUACUUGCAGCUUCCUCAUGUGUCUGCUCAGCCCAGAAUUA